UCAUGUGUUUCAGCCCCCAAGCUCUUCCCUGUGGUCUUCAACUUGGUCAAGGUGUUCAUGAGUGAGGAAACACAAAGGAAGAUAGUGAUUCUGGGAGGCAACUGGAAGCAGGAGCUGUGAAAGUUCGUCAGCCCUGACCAGCUUCCCGUGGAGUUUAGGGGGACCAUGACUGAUCCUGAUGGCAACCCCAAGUGCCUGACCAAGAUCAACUAUGGGGGUGAGGUGCCCAAGAGCUACUACCUGCGCAACCAGGUGAAGAUGCAGUAUGAGCACAAGAUGACUGUGGCCCGAGGC